rnacentral:rRNA from 1 species
GAUGAACGCUGGCGGCGUGCUUAAUACAUGCAAGUCGAGCGAACAGAUGAUGAUCUUGCUCCUCUGACGUUAGCCGCGGACGGGUGAGUCACACGUGUAUAACGUACCUAUAAGACUGGGAUAACUUCGGGAAACCGGCGCUAAUACCGUAUAAUCUAUUGCACCGCAUGGUUCGAUAGUGAGAUACGGCUUUUCUGUCUCUUCUAGCUGGAUCGGCGCGGCAUUAGCUAGUUGGUAGGGGCACGGCUUAUCACGGCUACGAUGCGUAGACGAACGGUGAGGGGGGUAGGCGACAUGAGAGCUGAGCCGGGGUCAAGAGGCCUGAGGGAGGGAGCAGUAGCGAAUGUGACGCAAUGGGCGAAAGCAUGACGGAGCAGCGCGGCGUGAGUGAUGAAGGUCUUCGGAUCGUAAAACUCGGUUAUUGGGGAAGAACAGAUGUGGAAGUAACUAUGCACGUAUUGACGGUACCUAGUCAGAAAGCCACGGCUAACUACGUG